AAGUGUUACAGCUCUUUUAGAAUUUGUCUAGCAGGCUUUCCAGUUUCUGGUGGAAAGGUCCCA
rnacentral:snRNA from 1 species